rnacentral:rRNA from 1 species
GAUACAAUGACGCAGCUAGGAAGCCUGGAUGUGGCGGCACCAUACAUCAAGAAGCUCAAAGAGAGGGUCGAUGAGCUACAACGUAAGAGGACCUCAACACCCACUACAACCACUACCACAAGCAGCGGAGCAAGGUCACCAGAAGGAGAAAAAUAUUUGGAGGCAUCACCACCGGUAGUGGAGGUGCGACAACCUGAUGAUUCAAGCAUGGAGGUGAGGCUGAUAUGCAGCACGGAGAGACCGAUCAAGCUCCAUGAGGUGAUUACCAUCCAUGAAGAAGAAGGGGCCGACAUUGUCAAUGCCAAUCACUCCGUUGCUGGCCACAAAAUAUUUUACACUAUACACUCCCGGGCCUUCAGCACCAGAAUUGGCAUAGAUGUUUCAAGAAUUUCUGAACGACUAAGAGCACUGGGCAAUUUUUGGUUCAAACAAAUU